AAAUUGAAGAGUUUGAUCAUGGCUCAGAUUGAACGCUGGCGGCAGGCCUAACACAUGCAAGUCGAACGGUAACAGGAAGCAGCUUGCUGAUUUGCUGACGAGUGGCGGACGGGUGAGUAAUGUCUGGGAAACUGCCUGAUGGAGGGGGAUAACUACUGGAAACGGUAGCUAAUACCGCAUAA
rnacentral:rRNA from 1 species